rnacentral:lncRNA from 10 species
UCUGCCCCACCUCAAGAGUCAGGUCCUGCAAAUCUCUAGCCAAGGCUUGCCCAAACAAAUGGGAACUAUCUGUGAAACCUUGUGGAAGCACUGUCCAGGGUAAUCUAUUCUGUGCCUGUAGCCUGGGACCAGCCUUCAUCUCUGUCCGAUGAGAAGCCUGUGUCUGUACCAGUUCAGCCAACUGCCAGAAUGGAAUGGACUUCUUUCCCUUCAAAUAUGACCUUGAAGGUCUGGAUGCAUAUUGGCAAGGGCAUGGAAGUGAUUCAAGAAAUGGAGGAAAACGUGUAUGUGAGAUUCCUCGUCCUCCUCCCUAACCAUCACCUGAUGGUUGCCUGACAUUCCUUGGCAGGGGUGAGGGGGUCUCCUGCCCUGCUCAUGUCUGCCUAGCUACCUGCAAUAAGAGACUGACAGCUUCAGGGUGGGGCUGGUCACCAUAGACAGAGGCAUGAUUAGAGGGUUGGGACUUAGCUCCACCACCAACCUACCAAGAGGGGAGAGAAGCUGAAGGUUAAGUUGAUCACCAAUGGCCAAUGACUUAAUCAAUCAUGCUUAUAUAAUGAAGCCUCCAUAAAAACCCAAGUGGCCUGGGUUCACAGAGUUUCCAUACCACGUGGAGGUUCCUGGGGGGUGGUAUGCCCAGGGAGAGCAUGGAAGCUCUGGCGCCCCUUCCCCCAUACCUUGCCCUGUGUAUCGUCUCUUUAUCUGUAUCCUUUGUAAUAUCCUUUUAAUAAACUGGUAAAUGUGUUUCCCUGAGUUCUGUGAGGUGCUUCAGUAAACCAAUCAAACCCAAAGAGGAGGUCUUGGGAACCCCAACUCAAAGCUGG